rnacentral:rRNA from 1 species
AGCUCUAAUAGUAUAUAUUAGUGUUGUUGCAGUUAAAACGCUCGUAGUUGGAUUGUGGGGCACUGUGGCUGGUCGGGGUCGUCUCGACCUUUGUUUUACCGGCUGUUUAGUGUUUCCCUUACACUUCCUGAAGACCCGCCAUUGUCUUUACGGGCCGUGGUGUUUUGGGAUUCUGGAUUUUUACUUUGAAAAAAUUAGAGUGUUCAAAGCAGGCAUUUUUUAAAAAUCGCUUGAAUAUAUUAGCAUGGAAUAAUAAAAUAGGAUGUCGAUUCUAUUUUGUUGGUUUUCCGCCCGCGUUUCGGCGUGGGUUCGCAGAGUUGACAUAAUGAUUGAUUGGGACGGCCAGGGUGAUUAGUAUUUAAUUGUCAGAGGUGAAAUUCUUGGAUUUGUGAAAGACUAACUUCUGCGAAAGCAUUUCACAAGAAUGUUUUCUUCAA